GACGAACGCUGGCGGCGCGCCUAACACAUGCAAGUCGAACGAGCGAGCGAGAGCUUGCUUUCUCAAGCGAGUGGCGAACGGGUGAGUAACACGUGAGGAACCUGCCUCAAAGAGGGGGACAACAGUUGGAAACGACUGCUAAUACCGCAUAAGCCCACGACCCGGCAUCGGGUAGAGGGAAAAGGAGCAAUCCGCUUUGAGAUGGCCUCGCGUCCGAUUAGCUAGUUGGUGAGGUAACGGCCCACCAAGGCGACGAUCGGUAGCCGGACUGAGAGGUUGAACGGCCACAUUGGGACUGAGACACGGCCCAGACUCCUACGGGAGGCAGCAGUGGGGAAUAUUGCACAAUGGGGGAAACCCUGAUGCAGCGACGCCGCGUGGAGGAAGAAGGUCUUCGGAUUGUAAACUCCUGUUGUGGAGGAAGAUAAUGACGGUACUCAACAAGGAAGUGACGGCUAACUACGUG
rnacentral:rRNA from 1 species